UUGUCUUUUUUUUUUUUUUUUGAACCAGAAACUACAAUCAAACUGAUCAUAAUCUAUUAGAAGGACCCAAACAGACUUGUUUAAAACCCUGCAGAGAGGUGCGAGCUUUUCGCGCCAAAGAAUCUGCCAUGCCAUUCAAGCUGCGUGGUAUAAGCGAGAGAGAGAAAGUUGAGAAUUCUUCCCUAUCAAUGUUGAUAUCGUCAAGGUAAACAGAGAACGCCGGCCACUCGGACGGAGAAGACACCAUCUUCACCAAAUCUGAACAGUCCGUCAGGAACAUAAC
rnacentral:lncRNA from 1 species